GUAUUACAUUUUCAAAUUAUUCGUAGGAUAAUGAAGAUGAAAUUAAGGUCUACUGCAUUUUCUCAUCUAUGAGAUUCUGUCGUGCAAAACAUAAUCAUUAUGAUGAAAUAGCAAAAUGCAGAAAAGAUUAUCUACGUAAAAAAUGUAGAUCCGAAUGA